CAAUACAUUUCUAUAAAAAAAAUCAACAAACACAUUUUAUCAACAACAAACACACAAAACAUUCCAAAAUAUGGCUCUAUUAACCAUGGGUGAGACACAUAGAGGAACCAUCAACAAAAUUGCGGAGUGUGUAAGUCAUUAUUUCAAAUCUAUUACUAAAUUUAUCGCUACAUUACUAUAUUUCUCAUUAAUCAUUUUCCUUAAUUAUUUUUUAUAUUAUUUUUUGUUAGGAUCCAAAGAGAUUUCAUUGUCGUGUACAUGAAUAUAUCCCACACGACGAAUUGAUAGAAUCGUAUUUACGAGCACUCGGUUUUGGUAAUUUACUCAACAUAGUCUCAUACUCUGUUGAUUACAAAUUUAUCCUCGCUUUAGUAGAAAGAUGGAGACCCAAGACACGCACAUUUCACCUUCCGCUCCGUGAAUGUAUCGUUAAACUAGAGGACAUGUACAUGUUGUUGGGUUUAUCUAUCGAAGGUAGGGUUGUUAAUGGUCGAGUUAACCAAGAUAACACAAUAUGCGAACAACUUUUGGGUGCCCUUUUGUUUGAAGACACAACAAGGGGUCAAUGUAUUAAUUUAAAGUAUCUUAAACAACAUUAUUCAAGUAAGAUAUUAACUGAAGAUUCGAUCGAGGAUAAAAAAAUAAUUAAAAUUCGAUGUUAUAUUAUAUUACUAUUUGAUAAUUUUUUAUUUCCUGAAACUACCGGUAAUAUGUAAAUAUUAUGUAUUUACUUUUGUUAAGAAACAUAAAUAAAAUAAGAACAUAUAGUUGGAGUUCAUCUAUUUUGUCCCAUGUAUAUAGUUCUUUGUGUAAAAACGCACAAAAGUGUACUUGUUCAUUUUAUUGUUGCACUUUUUUGCUCCAAUAACGGGGUUGGUCGAGAAUGUUGUCACUCGCCCCCGUCAACGAGAACAGCUUCACAUUCCCAUACGCGACAGUAAGUUUAUCUCAUUAUUUCCAUUUGCUUACUUUAUACUAAAACUAACUAUAAAUAAUUUAUUUUCACUCUUUUCGAUUUAGGUGGUCUAUUCUAGGGAUGAACUACAACAAAUAUCCCAAACACACUAUAACGGUCUAUCGAAAUCUUAUAGAUCACCUUUGAUCGAAUGAUGUAUUACAACUAAAUAACUCGUCAUCUUGUUAAUUUAGUUUUAACAUUACCAAUUUAAAAAUAUUUUAAUCAUGUAUUUUUCCUCUAUAGUUUACCUGGAGGCCAUAUCCGGGUCUCGACCAUGAGAUUAACCCCGAGGAUGUUGCAGUUUGGACUGCAAAACCAACAAUAAUCAGGUUCACUACUGUGGAGAUGCACCAGAUUGACUAUGUCAAAUUGUAAUUCGGCAUGCAGCAACAAAUCUCAGACCCUCCGACGUGUUUAGGACAAUGGCAUCAAAUAAGAGUCGAUGCCCAAUGAAAUUAUUCCGAUUGGAGAGAGUUCGCUAGGGAGGCAUGUCAUCAAUGGAAGCAUCGAUAUCAACGGAUCAUAAACGAACCUAUCAUGCAUGAUGUUAGACCAACUCUAAAUUAUAUGAACUAAUAUACAUCGAUUACAAUGACACGAUUUGUGUUUGACCUAAGGUAUUUGAUCGACCCACGUCAACGGGCUUCGUCAUCAUACGCCCAACAAUCAACCCCCGCCCGACAACCAACGCUACAACAUUAUCAACCCAUCCAAACCCCACAACAUCACCAUACCAGAUACACCCAACAACCAAUUGAACAUGAUUAUGAACCCACAUACACCUAACCCCGCAACCAAUUCAUGUCACACACCCAAAUACAAAACCAAGAGCAUGACCCAUACUACCAAUAACCAUAUGUUUCCACCAUGUCUUACUAUAUCCUCGAAGAGGUAUAUGAUUCCAUCUCAUCCAACCAUAACACCCCAACAAUGUACACCCAAACAUCACACCACCAAAGCACUCAAACAUCACAUCGUCAAAGCACCCAACCAACACAUGUCUUUCAAAUACCACAAGAACCAUUACUUCGUUUCCACAAUGAUUCGUUGUCCAAAUUCAACCAACUAGCCCGCCAACACGUAAUCCAACUAACACGAACCAACUACAAUAACAUGGGCACCAAACUCAAUUACGGCAACACCGACUACUUUGGAGAUAUGAUCGAAGAUUUUUUUAGAUAAAACUAAUAUCCCAGGAACCCCGCACCAGUCACCUUUGGCUCGGGUGAAUACUAGGAGACCCCAAAUACCACGGGAAAUUUGUGGGAGACCUAAAAGGCAAGCGAAUACGUCGGGGUAUGGAACCAGUGGACAUUACAAUUGAGCGGGUCAUUAAAAUUCUCUCCAAUCAUUGUGUAAUUCUAUUUGAUGGGAUAAUAUUAUGAUUUAUUUUUUAUUAAACAUUUGAUUUAUAAUUAUUUUGUUGUUAAAGUAAUUUAUAAAAAAAUAACACAGUAGCCAUGGCGCAUGCUCCUAAAGGUUGCACGCAUGCGCCUCAGACAGUGGCAUGACACGUGACCAUGUGCCACAGGCAUUGGCAACUUAGACUAAAAAAAGAGUGCAUACGCCACAGGCAGUGAUGCAUCCUCUUAGGGGAGAAUUUUUUUUGUCUGAAAGGUGAUUACUUUGGUUUUUUUUCUUAAAUGUGGUUAUUUUUUAGGGAUUUUUUUUUAAAAAAUGGUUAUUUAAAAAAAAUCCUUAGUACGCUUAUGAAAUGUAGGUUUAUGAGUCAAGUAAAUAGUUGAAACAUUAUUAUAACAUAUUGAAGUAUGAACAUGUCGUGUAAUCUGCAAAUCAGAAAGCAGAUAAUUUAAUAAUUGAACCUCACAAUAAAUACUUAUUGAGGCUCUGUAUUUGGCUUCAGAGAAGGAUCUAGAUUAGGUGUGGCAAACAGGCAUGUCCAUCCUGUUUAGACCUGCUCCCUAAAAAUUCGCAAAAAAAUGAGGACGGGGCUAAACAGGCCCGUGGGAACUGUGUUAUUUUAGCCUAAAAAUGAAAAACCUUAUUGAUUAGAAAAAUAGCAAGUGUACUAUUUUGCCUAUGUAGUAAUAAUGAGGAAAGUUCCCCAAAUGUUGAUCUCAAGGACUGUGUAUUAAUAAUGAGUUCUAAUUGUCGUUUAAUCAAACAAAAACUAAAGUUGGGAUUUGUUGUGCGGAUUUAUAUAAAAAUAAUUGUGCACAGAAUAAAUAGAUUAUUUAAAUGGCUUUGACAGAUAUGAGCAUCAUGCUAGAGAGAGUGUAUGAUUCUUUCUUGUAGCAACUAUGAAUCAUCAUUGCAACAACAUAUUUUACAUAAUCAAUAUUAGUUCUUAAAGUUGUUUUCUCCUAAAUCCUUAGUGAGAAAACCUUUAAUCAUUCAUCCCAAAUUACUAUGCUCAUAGAUGAUUACUGAUGAAAUUAAGCAUUACUAUAUCAAGAAUUAUCUGGUUAUUAUAGGGUAACCCUAGUCCUAAGAUAUAUCUACCAUAGCAUAUUCUCAUGAAAGCAUUACCAAAGGUGGUCCAACCUAGUUGUUCAUCAUACAUCAAUCUCAGUUUUUCCGAAAGAGAAAGCAUUACAAAUAUCAAGAGAAUAAUUUAAUUAUGAAAAACACAUUGUUAUUGCAAAUAGAGAAUCAUAGUCAUUAUAGAUCCAAAUCAGAGACACCCCCUAACAUUGGGGAGUUUAGCUACUCAUAAUAUUCAAUAAAAACAAAAUACAAAGUUUAGAUAUUACGGGUACUAAGAUGAAAUUGAAUCUUCAAUCGCUUCCGUUCAUGAAAAUCAGUCUUUCACCAAAGCUUUUGUGUUCUCCAAUCUUUCUCUAUGCAUUUUUGCCGUCCAAGAAGAAGUCCCCUCAAAUGUGAUAGCAAUUUCGCUUAAAUAGAGAAAUACCCCUUUUUCAGAUUCCUCUAGUCAAUCCAAUUUUUCUGGACAAUAAGAUCAGGUCUGAAAAUAGAUCAAUCAACAAUAAUUUCCAACUGAAGCUGGGGGUUUAUGUCUGUUAUGACCAAUAGCAGGUGUUACAGGUGGCCGUAGCAGGCCACUGGUUCUGGCUUGCCAACUGAAGCUAGAGGUUUAUGUCUGCUACGGUCAAUAGCAGGUGCUACGAGUGUUCGUAGUAGGCCAUUGGUUCUGGCUUGCCAACUGAAAUUGGAGGGUUAUGUCUGCUACAGUCAGUAGCAGGUGCUACAGGUGGCCGUAACAGACCACUAUUUCUGUUCCUUUUCCUUUUAACUAGGGUUUCAACUACUUCUCUUCUACAGCCUAUAGCAGGUGCUACGAGUGGUCGUAGCAGCCCACUGUUCCUUGGGCCAUAUUCUCAUAUUCUUUGCAAUUCUUCAUAGUUUUUAGCCGAAGUCCUUCUUGAACAUUUAUUUGAUCCUGAAAACAGUAAAAACACACAACCAAAGCAUAAAAUAUGGAAAACGGAAACAAAUUAAUGAAAAACAGUGAAAAGAUUAAAUGACAUUAACGAUAAAAGAAGGUGUAAAAACCACUUAAACCAUAUGAAAAAUGCAAAUAACUCGCCUAAUUUCACAUGUUAAAAAGAUAAUAAUUAUAGCACAAAUGGUGAUUGUUCACAACCCCAAAUUUAGCUUGUUGCUUGUUGUCAAGAAACUUUAAGUACAAAGAACUCAUGUCAUUCCCAAAUGAAAGAAAAACUUUUCACGUACCACCAUACCUCUAAGAUCUUCCAUGAUCCUAAUUUGUUGACACCUUUGGUUUUUUAUUGGAUUACUGAGGUCGAUUGAUUGACCACACCUUCACUUGAAAGUAAUGAUUCACCCAUCACCUCAAUUCACACUCUCACCAAAUCUCUCAGGUGUUAAUAUGUUGUACACUCAAAAUUCAUAGUAUGCAAUACCAUACAAUAGGCUUGAAUAAAUUCUCUUUUGAUAUCAAGGUGCACGACACACACAUUACACUCAAAAUUCAUAGUAUGCAAUACCAUACAAUAGGCUUGAAUAAAUUCUCUUUUGAUAUCAAGGUGCACGACACACACACACACACACACACACACACACACACACACACACACACACACACAAUAUUUGAAGUCUUUAUGAUUGUAACGGGGCUAGAGUUAAGGUGGGAUAAUUUUGGAAAAGUAUGCUAAGUUUCAUAGUCAAUACGAUCAUUAUCUUCACUAUGCUCAUUCUGAUGGAUUAGUGCUGGAAUUAUUUCUUGUGCUGGUCCUUUAGGAUUAAUUAUUAUCGAGGAUUCAACUUUUGAAUAUGUCUUUAUUUUCAAUGUCCGCUGACUUCUCUUUCUUUCAAGUGCCAUGAUGAUUAUUUUUCUAUUAUUCAUUUCAAUUUGAUUUUCAAAUUUGCAUCUUUUUUUUUCAAUCAUUAGGUGCCCUCAUUUGUACUAACACUGCCAGUUACCCCAAACUUUAAAGGUUGUUAUCCCAACAACAACCUUAAACUUAGAAUGAACAUGGAUCUGAUAACUCACAUAAAUACUCUGAACAUGGUGGGGGAGUGUUCAGGCCAUAGGUUAAUAUGAUGUGGUUUUUAAAACAAACAAAUGGAUAAAGGCUUAAAUAGGGUUAACAAUGGAUAAUAAUAAAACGGAUGGCUAGAAAGGCUCAGGGGUAAAAAAAAAGUGCCUCAAUGUGUGUAGUCAUGCAACCGAAAUCAGAAAAGAACGUAUGCAAGUUCUGAAUGAUAAAGACAUAUCUGCAUGCUCUCUUAUGAUGUAUAUUGUAUUUGCCUUUUUCUACUAUCACCAUGUUGGGUAGAGCUGACAAUCUCCACGGUACCUCUUGCUCGAUGUGGUUUCUCAAUCAGUUGUGGUAAACCUGCUCAACUUCCAGUCCAACUCAAUUAAACCAAUCUGAUCAUUUAGAAGUAUAUAUAAAAAAUAUUUUGGCGAGUUAACAUGCAUAGAGGACACACUUGCCUUCAGUUUGGGUACUUUUUGCACAACCAUUAAAGCUACAAUUAUCAUAUUACUAGAUAAAAGUAAACAACUAGAAAAUAAAACACUUAAAGCAAAUAAAACUCAUAAAUUAAUAUAAAAUUGAAACUAUAAAAUAAAAAUUACGAAUACUUUCCCUGGGUUGCCUCCCAAGCAACACUCAUUUAUCGUUAUUAGCUUGACGUUUUAUUCCUCCUGUUAGGGGUGGGGGGGGGGGGGGGGGACUUCAGCUUUCACACCUUGUUGCACUUCUUUUCCAAAACUAAGAAAUCAUAUUUUUCAGACAUAUGGACUCCUUUAUGCCACAAGUCCUUUCCAACUUCCAUAUCCUUACCUUGAUGUCGCUUUCUCUUCUUUCUCAUGGCUUUUGGAAUGGAAAUAUGAGUUUUUCCACUCGGAGUUGCUAAUGGAGGUGAUAUCAGUUGAGAUGGUCUUCCACUGUUCCUUGGACCAUACUUUUCUUAUUCUUCACAAUUCUUCACAGUUUUUAGCCGAAAUCCUUCUUGAACAUUUGAUUGAUCCUGAAAACAGUAAAAACACACAACCCAAGCAUUAAAUGCGGAAAACAGAAACAAAUUGAUGAAAAAUAGUGAAAAGAUUAAAUGACAUUAACGGUAAAAGAAGGUGUAAAAACCACUUAAACCAUAUGAAAAAUGCAAAUAACUUGCCUACUUUCACCUGUUAAAAUGAUAAUAACUAUAACACAAAUGGUGAGUGGUCAUUUAUUUUAAUGCUCGUGUCUACAAAAGCCUGCAAAAAAUGGGUAAGGUAUGACAAACAUAUUAGAGGGAGCGGAUCUAAAGCCUUGUCCCGUCUCGCGAAAAAGUGCGGGAAAAAUGAGCAUGCCCAACGGACGAGGCUCAUUUUUCCAUCCCUAAUCUAGAUAUUGUGGACUGUUUUUUUAGAUUUCCAAAAAAUUAAAGUAGAGUUUAAAAAGACACAGUAGCCAGUAAUAGACUUGCGAGUAUCCAAACAACAAGCCUAGUCUGAAUAAAAGAAAUUAGAUAAUUGUAGAGAAUUACAAGAAAAGAAAAAAAAAAAUAAGUAGGAGUAAAUUUUAUGUAUGUAAGUACACGAGUAACACCAUGGAAAUGAGAUUCUAGAUUCUUAAAUACAAACUGACUAAGUUGCUAAACAAAAAAAAUCUAUAUCCAAUAUGGUAUGUGUGAGAUAAAUUAAUUGACCUAUCAACCUUUUAUAAGCUGAAUGAUCUAGAUUAACAGGGCAACCUUUAACAGUAAGUUUAGUGGAAGAUUAAAGAGGGUGGUAGCAGGCUUGGUAACAAAAGUACCCUAUGAAUCACAAACUCUGACACGGGUACGACACGACACAGACACCGAUAAUGUUAAAAUAUAGAACACCGACACUGCUACAUAUAAGAUAAUACUUCAGCUUUAUUUCCAUCUAUGAUUAAAAAAGUUGAAAAUAUUUGAAUCAAAAUUAAUAUCGUUAAUUCUUUAUUGAUAAUAUUAUUUAAAUACACGUUUAACAUUUUUUUAAUUUAUGUGAGAUUUGUCCAAAACAUGUAUAAAUGUAGGUUGAAACAAAUAAGAAAAAAAAAUUGUUUGAAACAUUAGUCUGAAUUGUCUGACAAAUAUGUUAUGAGUGUCAUAGGGUGUCAACGAUUGAUUCGAAGAGUGUCGAAGUAAAGAAAAAACCAUUUUUUAGUGGACACUUGUCUAACUUUUUCGACACUUCUUUGAUUUUUUCGACACAUGUUGUACGAGUGUCAUACAAGUGUCAGACACCGCGACACCUUUACUCCUAAAAUUGUUUGUGCUUCGUAGAGGGUACCAUUGUCACAAAGUAGUUUAAGGGUAUAUUUUUUCUAAUUUGAUGAGAUAUCAGAUUUAGUACGAGCAACUUUUAGUCCAAGAAAAAUCUUAAGGACCUGAAUUUUUACUUUUACUUUUGAAUAGGGUAUCUAGAACUUGUUUAACAUGUUACAUCUUAGUCAUUGAGUUACCAGUAAGCACUAUGUCAUCAACAUAGGCUAAUAAAGAUGUAAGUUGAGAAGAAAAUGCCUUGAUAACCAAGGAGUCAUCAACUUGAGACCUAAAGAUGAAUGAAACAACUAGUACAUUAGCAAUGAUAAUUUUGUAAUUAACUUGAUCUAAUAUUAAUUAUAGUAGAAUGAUUUAAAGGUUGAACAAUAGGAGAUGAUAUAGGAGAAGAAAAUAAAGAAGAAUUUAAAUUUGAUUACACUUCUAGAAAUAAAAAUCUAAUGAAAAGACAAAUCAUAUAAGAUGCCCUAUAAUAAGUGGUUCUUUCUAUAGAAUUUGAUAAGGAGAUUUAUUAGAAAGAAUGCGAGUAUCACUCCUUAAACAUUCUAGUUUAGGGCUAAAUUGUGUUUCAAUGAAGGAAAUAAAAUUUAUUAAAUGGAUUCUUGUUUUAGCUUUAAAUUUCGCCAAAAUCACCCAAAUGAAUCUACUAUAAUCAUCAAUUAAUAUGAGAAAAUAUUUAUAACCUAAAAUUGAAGUGUAGGAAUAUGGACUCCAAAUAUCAAAUAUCAGCAUUAAUAAUAUUAAAAACAUUAGAAGUUUUAAUGAUACUACUAAAAUAUGUUAACUUUCUUUGCUACAAAAAUGACAGAUAUCACAUGGGGCUUUAUCUUUAUUGAAUUGAAUAAAGAAAAAUUGACAGAUAUUCAUUGAUGUCUAUGUAAAGAGAUAUGACAUAAUCUCACAUGUCAUAGGAUAGAAUCUGAAGCAUUAUUGGAAUUCCAAUCAGAACAUGAAUGAAAAGAAGUAAGGCAAACUAAAUUAGAAUUAGACUAGAUUGCUUGAGCAUGAAUAAUAUAUAGACCACCAACCAAUCUAGUUAUACAAAUUAUCUUCUUGGUGCUUCCUACAAAUAUAUACAAUGGUUAGUAGUAAAAAUAUUAGAACAAUUAUUUUCCUUUUAACCAGUUGUGGAAUUGAAAUCAAUUUUGUAUGAAAAUUUGGAACAAAUAAAACAUUGCUAAGCUGCAGGUCAUUCAAAAUGUAAGAUAAGUUUGAAAUGGGAAAGGUGUUAUUUACAAGUGUAUUGUUAUAAGUUUAAUAAAAUGUGUACUAAUAAAAAGUACUGAAGUGUAAGAGUUUCUCCUAGAAGGGCAUGGAUACUCAAAGACCCUAAUAAAUAUACUAUAAGUUGGGAUAGUGAGGGCUAACUCCUGGCGGCAAGUAGUCCUUUACGAUGGUUUUUGAGAUUAUUUGAGGGAGCAACUCAUGUGUGGUGAGAGACCCUGAUGAUGGUCGACGAUGUUGGGUUGCAAAUGAGCGAUUAGCUUAACGGUGUUUGGGCUACUAGGAGCAUGUAGCUCUCUUAGUAGUAAUAAGUGUGUAUAACUUAAGGAUCUCUCUUAUCCCUUUGAGGGAUAAGGUAUUUAUAUGGAUUUCCAUGGGCUACGGUUUUUGCCCCUCUGGACGUGGUCUUAAUCGUCUCCCCUUAUUAGGGAGGUUAUUGUCUGUCUAUACUUCUGGAGUCGGCAAAGACUUUCUCUUACGUGUUGUAUGGACCGGAUGCGCGACUCCUUUGAAUUCUGCCGAGCGGCCCAAAAUUGUUAUGUGGGGGUGCUUUAACCCAGGACUUUACCAAAUAUGACAUUACACAGUCCCUUAAACACGAGGCAUUUUUCGUAAAAGGGCGAAGUGUUUAAAACCAUUCUUCUUCUCAAAAGGCAUCCCUCGCUUUGUCGAUGAUUCCCUCGACUGAGGAUGAUGUUGUGGGACAAUUCCCCCUCGCAGGUGAGUCCUUGUGUGGCAUAAGCGUUUAACAGGUCUUGGGAAACGUUUUGGUUUUGAAGUGACGUUUCGAGACACCAAACAUCAAUCAAUUUGGCCAGAUUGAGUGUUGGAUGAAAAGAGGCAUAUGUAGCAUUUAAUGCACCUCAUGUGUCUCACACAGCCUUUGCUGUUGUUGAAUCAACGAUCUUCUCAAACAUGUUCAGAUCCACACAGUGGUGGAUAUAGAGCAUAGCCUUCUGAUCCUUCUUCCUCAUCUCUCUAUGCGUCUUUCUUUAUGCUUCAGUUGCAUCUACUGCAACAGCUGUGUAACCAUCAUUGAAUUGAUCAAGUACCAAACAACACACACAUUUGAAUCAUCCAUCGACUCUAAUUCUUUCCAUCAAAUACUAGAAACUUUGUGUUCAAGCUACCAUUUCCGCCGUUCAUUUUCGUUCUUGUUCAAAUUCACUUAAAAACUCACCAACACUCGUGUUUUUCAAUCCCUAAAAAAAUAUGAUUUUGUUUCGACUAAGAUCUUCAAUUCAUUAUGAAUUGAUUAAGCAGAAUCAAUCACACAUGCCUCACGUACACUCGUGUUUUCCGUUCUUGAAUCCGAAUCGGAACUCUAGAUACCAAUUGUUGGAGUACAAGGAUGAAGAUGAAGAAGAUGAUGGAAGGGAAAAAUUGUAACUAACUUUUAAAUUCUAUUACAAAAAGAGUUAUACAUCUAACUAAAUGUAAAUUCAGAUUAUAUACAAAUUCAAAUCUGAAAUGAAACUCAAAUGCAAUCUAAACUUAAAUGACACUUAAAUGAAAUACAACUAACUACUUGAAUUUGAAUUACACUUUAACAUAUUUUACGGGUAGGGAUUCUCUACUGCACUAAUCUCUGCAACCCUCUUUCAUACUCUUUUAUGUGUCUAUCUCUCUCAUCUCUUCACUUUGAUUUUUAUUUUCUGAUAUAUCUCUCAUCACACACACAUAAAAUUAAAGUUGAACUCAACAGGGGAUCCAAAUCCUUAAUUUACCCCUUUGUUUUGUGAUACUUCGGAUGUCUAACAUUGACAAAGAUAUUUAAAUUUAAUCAUUUUUUAUUUUCUUAAAUUACAUGUGUCUAUGUGUUAGUGUAAUGUUGGAUGUUGUGAUCAAUGUUGGAUGACAUGAAUUUAAAUACUUUUGAAGUUAAGAUUUUUCUAUAGAAAAAUGAAUCAUAUUAGUGAAAAUUGAUUUUUUUUUAUAAAUAAUCUUUUUAGGGAAAUUUAUCUUACCAAUUUAGUGGAGUCAUCCCUCCUAUUCACCAUCUUUUUUAUCUCCAAGAUUAAACCCUAAAUUUUGAGAAAGUAGACUUUUGUUCCACUCAACCAAUGUGAAGUCUGUAGUUAAGGGAGUAGUUAAGGGAGUUAAGAGUCAAUAAAGUAACUAAUAAGACUAAUGAAAUAAAGUUAACUAUUUUCCCUUUAAUUUUACUCUAACAUUUUUCUUCUUCUUCUUUUUUUCUCUCUAUAUAUAAAAAAGACUUUUUACACAUUAUAAUAUUUUUUUAAUAUACAUUUUACUUUACUUUUGUAACUAACUACAAUUUCUCUCUACUAAUAGAAGUAAAAGAUAGAAGUAAAAACAUUCUUAGGAGACUUACAUAUAGUAAUAAUACAUAUAGGCAUUAAUAUUAGUAUAAUUCAAAUCUAAUUAACUAAAAAUUCGAUGCCAAGGAUAUUUAGAUUUAGAUUUUAGUAUAAUUCAAAUAAUAGAUAUUUAAAUUUUAAAAUAUUUAACUAAAAAUUUGAUCUCUAAUAAAAAAACUACAUUAAAAAAAGUCUAAUAUUGUCUCUUAUGCAAAGAACAUUAUAUACUCAACUACUUAUUCUUCUAAAUUGUUUGAACAAUUUAUUUCAGGUUUCUUCUCUCAUGAUCUAAAACAUGUGAAUCUGAUUAACAUUGGAAAGUAAUAUUAUAUCAAAGAGCGAGUCUUUUAAAUACAUUAUUCAAUCAUCUCAUUAUUCCUCACUCUCUAAGUACCGUUGGAAAUCCACCAAAACCUAUGAAGAAUUUCAAUCAAUCUUGAUGAACAAGAUUGUUAUCACCCACACAAUGACAAUAAUAGAAAAGAACAAUGGAGAAAGAAAGAAAGUAAAGAACGAUGAAGGAGAAGAAGAAAUAAAUUCUGCAGAGUUUCUCUCUACCCACAAACUGUGGAAAACUUCUUAUUCACUUUGCAACUGCAAAAUACUGUGAAUUACAAUGUUAUGAACACUUUAUUCACUUCAUUACAAGAAUAAGGGUUACUCCUUCUAUUUAUAGAUUUAGGUUAACUUGGACUUCAAGUCAAAACCCAAAACUAUAAAAGCCCAAAAUAGCUAACACUGCUAAAAUAGGCCUAAGUCGAAAUCCUGUGUAAAGCAACAUGCUUCGACACUUCGACACACUAACACAACUCAACAUACUAGGUGAUUCGACACUUCCUUGUUUUGUCGAGCAACUUUCUUCGACACAAGGAAUUACAAUUUAAUAUACCACCUAAUUCAUUGUGUCUAAGCUAUCUACAUUCAUCAUAUCUCUUAGUCUUCUGAACACUUCGACCUGGACUCCCUUCUUCAUGAUGUCUGCAAUCUGAUUCUUAAUUCUACAGUGUUCCACAUUCAUCUUCUCAUCUGCUACCUGCUCUCGAAGAUAAUGGAACCUCAUUUCAGUGUGCUUGCUUCGACCAUAUGAUAUCAGAUUCUUCGCCAGAUUGAUAGCUGACAUGAUGUCGAUCUUCAUGGUAAUUGCUCCAUGACUAUUUGUUGUUAUCUCUUCGACCAGAUUCAACAUCCACGUUUUUUGACAUACACAAGGGAAACAACUAUGUAUUCUGCUUCACACGAUGAUAAUUCCACUAUUGGAUUUUUUCUCGAACUCCAACCAACUGAUGCACCACCAAGCAUAAACACAUAACCAACUGUGGAUUUUCGAUCCUCAGCAUCAUUACACCAACUUGAGUCGGUGUAUCCCACUAGUUUGCAUUCUUUUCCUUCAUCAGUUGCAUAAAAAAAUGUCAUAGUCAAGAGUUCCUUUCAGAUACCUUAGUAUCCUCUUCGUCGCUGCUAGAUGUGAUACCUUUAGCUUCUGCAUAAAUCUACUCACCAUACAUACACUGUAUGCUAAGUUAGGUCUUAUGUGACAAAGGUAUCGAAGUGACCUAAUAAGUCUUCUAUAUUGGGUUGGUUCGACAUCAUCCUCAUUUGAAUCUUUCGAAAUUUGUAAUUUGGGCUCAGCUGGAGUCAAAGUUGGGUUGCAAUCUUGCAUCUCAAAUCUCUUGAGUAUUUCUCCUCCAUACCUUCUUUGAUGCAUCAUUAAACCUCUACCACUCUUGUAGAAUUCGAUGCCAAAGAAAUAUGAAAUGUCACCCAGAUCUGACAUUUCGAAAUCCUUAUUGAGAUCACCUUUGAAGUAUUUGAUCUCCUUCUUGCAGCUACCUGUUAUCAACAGGUCAUCGACAUAGAGGCAUAGUAUAAGCAAUUCACUCUUGCUUCUUAUUACAUAUACACCAUGUUCAGAUUUGCACUUGACAAAUUAAUUCUCCAUUCGAAAAUCAUUUAUCUUAUUGUUCCAAGCUCUUGGAGCUUGUUUAAGUCCGUACAUGGCUUUAUGUAGCAUGUACACCUUUCUUUCUUUGCCAUGUUUCACAAACCCAGCUGGUUGUGCAACAUAAACUUCUUCUUCUAAGGGGUCAUUCAGGAAUGCACAUUUUACAUCCAUUUGACACAUCUGCCAGUUGUUUAUGUUUGCUAGACCAACAACUAAUCUGAUUGUUUCGAUCCUAGCAACAGGUGCAAAAACUUCAUCGAAGUCGGUUCCUUCUUUCUGAAGAAAUCCUUUCGCCACAAGCCUCGCCUUGUGUAGAGUCACUUCUCCUUUAGGAUUCAACUUUACCUUGUAUACCCACUUCACAUUGAUUUCCUUCUUGUCUUGGGGCAAUUCGACAAGUGACCAAGUGUUGUUGACUUCGACUGAUUUCAGCUCUUCGUCCAUUGCUUUCAUCCAUUUCGAAUAUUUCAAUGGCUUAGCUGCAUUGACAGGUUCAACAUCAGCGUAGAAAUCAUAAUGUACCACCUCACCUUCUUCAUUGACCACUUCAUUUGAUGUAAUCACACAUUCUUGCAACCUUGCAGGCAUGUGUCUUGUUCUUUGAUGUCUGUUUGGGCCUACUUCACCUCUGACUUCUUCAUGUCGAACUUCUCUUUCGACUUCACUAGUUGGUUCAUCAUAAAAGAUUCUCACUCAAUCUUUCUUGACAUUCUCAGUCCAAUCUCACUCCUUAAGCUCAUUUAUGAUCAUGUCCCUGCUGAUCACCACUUGCUUAUUCACUGGGUCGAACAACUUGUAUCCUCCAGUAGAAUGAUAUCCCAUCAGGAUCAUCUGAUUUGACUUGUCAUCAAGUUUUCUUCUCAGCUGAUCUGGCACAUGUCUAUAUGCUAUAGAUUCAAACACCCUCAGAUGACUCAAGCUAGGCUUGACACGAGACCAACAUUCUUCUGGCAUGAUUCCUUCUAGCUUUUUCGUCGGACAUCUGUUUAGGAUAUAUGUCACAGUCGACACAACUUCUCCCCAUAAUUCUUUAGGUAGACCCUUGCCUUUCAACAUACUUCUAACCAUAUUCAUAAUGGUUCUAUUCUUCCUUUCUACGACUCCAUUCUACUGUGGAGUGUAGGGUGACACCACCUCAUGCACAAUCCCUUCUUUCACACAUUAUACAUCGAAGUCUUUCGAUACACAUUCUCCACCACCAUCAAUCCUCAAAAUCUUUAUCUUUAGACCGCUCUAUCUUUCGACUACAGAUUUAAACUUGGAAAAUACCUCGAUCAUUUCACUUUUCUUCUUGAUCAGGUAAGACCAUAAUUUUCGAUUGAAAUCAUCUAUGAAUGUAACAAAGUAUUUUUUACCUCCAAUCGAAUCCACCCGAAGAGGACCACAUAUGUUAAAGUAUAUGACUUCAAGAAUUGCCUUCGACCUGCUUCUUGCAUCCUUACUGAAGUUGUUCUUAUGAUGCUUUUUCGGCACACAUUCUUCACACUCUUCGUUUGAAAUGUCGAUUUUUGGUAAUCCUGAAACCAUAUUUAUUCUCUUCAAAUCUCUGAUGUCUUUGAAAUUGAGAUGGCCAAGUAUAUAAUGCCAUAUCCAUUCAUCUCUGUUGGCUGUUGUUCCAAGGAACUUAUGCUCCAUCACAUUUAGCUCAAUCUUGAAGGUUCUAUUCUGAGACAUUGGGGCCUUCAAGAUCAACCUUCCAUUUGAGUCGAGAACUCUCAUCAUUUUGUCUUUGAUCGACACCUUGUAGUUCUUUUCGACUAACUGCCCUAUACUGAGCAAAUUGCUCUUCAUGCCUAGUAUGUACAACACAUUUAAAAUUAUUGACCUCUUGCCAUCUUUCCUCAUAAUCAGAACAUCACCAACACCUUCAGCUGGUAGAGUGUUGUCAUUUGCAAAUUUCACCAUUUUCUUCAUUGAGGGAUUUAUAUUGACCAACCAAUCUUUCCUUCUAGACAUAUGUGAUGAGCAUCCCGAGUCCAAGUAUCAUUGGUCCUUGAAUCUCUCUUCAUCUCUUGUUGUAACCAUCAACAACGUCUCUUCUUCUUCAUGUUUCGCCAGCUUUGCAUAAGUUUCUUGAUUCUUCUGCUUUUCUGGAUAAUCACUAGAAUAGUGAUCAUACUUUUGACAAUUGUAACACUGAAUGUGACUCUUGUCUGGUUUUUACCACCACCUCUUCCUCUACCUGUAACACCACCUCUUUGGUUGCCUUGGUUCCAGGGUUUUCUCUGAUUCGACCAGUUUCCUUCUUUCUGAUUUCGACAAGUCGAAUUGAUGUAACCUCAUCUGCCUUUGUUUCCAUUCCAAAUUCCUUUGCCUUUCCUUUCUUUUGUUGAUUGCGCCUGCAAAGCCAUAUCACUCUUCGAUUUUCCUACAGCUCUUUCAGCCAUUUUUUGUUCAUGAGAUUCAAACGUCCCUUAAAGUUCUUCCUUUGUCAGCUUUGACAAAUCUUUCGACUCUUCUAUGGUUACUACCACGUGGUCGAACUUUGGAGCCAACGACCUCAAGAUCUUUCCAACAACAGAUCUUGAUGUCAACACUUCUCCAUAUACCUUCAUUUGAUUCACCAGUUUCGUAACCUUGGUGAAGAAAUCAGUUAUGCUUUCAUUGUUUCUUUCCAACAACAGAUCUUGAUGUCAACACUUCUCCAUAUACCUUCAUUUGAUUCACCAGUUUCGUAACCUUGGUGAAGAAAUCAGUUAUGCUUUCAUUGUCUUCCAUCUGAAGCAAUUCAUACGUCCUUUUGUGAGUUUGUAACCUCGCCUCUCUCACCUUCUUCGCGCCUCUAAAUGAUUUCUCUAAAAUUUCCCAUGCUUCUCUCAUUGACUCUGCAUCACUAACAUUUUCAAAGUUAUCUGCAUCAACACAUUGAUGGAUUAUAAAGAGAGCUUUAUAAUCUUUCUUCUUCAACUCUUUAUGCACAACCUUUUCUUGAUCUGUCGCGUCUUCUACAAGCGUUGUUACUCCUUCCUUCACAAGAUCCUAAAGAUCUUGAUAAAAUAACACAAUAUUUAUCUGUUUGCACCAAAUCUCAUAAUUGUUGUUCUUGAGAAUCGAAAGAUUUGAAGGAAAAUGUCUUUUUGGAUGAUUCGUUGCCAUGUUGAUUUUCUUCCCACGAAUCGAUUAAACUAGGCUCUGAUACCAGAUGUUGGAAAUCCACCAAAACCUUUGGAGAAUUUCAAUCAACCUUGAUGAACAAGAUUGUUAUCACCCACACAAUGACAAUAACAUAAAAGAACAAUGGAGAAAGAAAGAAAGUAAAGAAUGAUGAAGGAGAAAAAGAAUUAAAUUCUGCAGAGUUUUUCUCUACCUACAAACUGUGGAAAACUUCUUAUUCACUUUGCAACUGCAAAAUACUGUGAAUUACAAUGUUACGAAUACUUUAUUCACUUCAUUACAAGAAUAAGGGUUACUCACUCUAUUUAUAGAUUUAGGUUAACUUGGACCUCUAGUCAAAACCCAAAACUAUAAAAGCCCAAAACUAUAAAAGUCCAAAAUAGCUAACACUACUAAAAUAGGCCUAAGUCGAAAUCCUGUGUGAAGCAACAUGCUUCGACACUUCGACACACUAACACAACUCAACAUAUUAGGUGGUUCGACACUUCCUUGUUUUGUCGAGCAACCUGCUUCGACAUUACAAUUCAACAAGUAUAACCACACUAAUAGAUUUUUUUAAAUAAUCAUUUUUUUUCAAAAAUAAUACGAAAUAACCAUAAUUUUAAAGUAUUUAUCAAUAUAACCACUUAAAAAACAAGACGUAAUUUAUUAUGGCGCAUGCAUUGAUCAAUUUGUACGCAAACGUCAUUACAAUUGGCACAUGCAUGUAAUAUGUAAGAGCGUGACGCAUGCAUGUAAAAUAUAGGAAUAUGCACUGCACCACUACAAUUGGCGCAUGCAUGUGGUUACCCUUUAUUUUUUUACAUGCAUGUGUCAAUUGUAGUAGCGCAUGCUCUUAUAUUUUACAUGUAUGCGUCAAUUGCAGUAUGCAUGCGUCAAUUGCAGUGACACAUGCUCUUACAUUUUACAUGCAUGCGUCAAUUACAAUGACACAUGCUAUUAUAUUUUACAUGCAUGCGCCAAUUGCAGUGGCGCAUGCUCCCACAAAUAUGAUUAGUUUGGUAAAUAAAUUGAAACCAUGGUUAUUUUGAUAUUUAAUUUGAAAAUGUUGAUUAUUUUGAUAUUUAAUUUGAAAUUGUUGAUUAUUUCAAAAACAAAAUCACACCAAUAGCGUGAAUUUGUACAAUUAAGUUUUUCAUUUUCAUUUAUAAAUUCAAAACUUCUAUCGGCAAUAAUAGAUGAUAAAAAUAUAAAUAUAUAUGUCAUGUUAAAUUAACGUUAUUAAUAGUUGUAUAAGGAUAUCUGAUCACAUAUUUGAAUUUAUGAUUUCUUAUUUGUUUAUUUUGAAAAUAUGAAAAUUUUAACAAUUAAACUAUUUAUAAAAAUAUAAGUACAUCUUACAAGUGUGUGACAACAAUAUUAUAUGAUAAAAAUUAUAACCAACCCAGAGUAAUUGUACAUAACAAUCAUGUGAAAUCAAGCAUUUGAAGGGUAAUUUUCAAUUUCAAACUACUCACAAAUAUUUGAAGAGGUUAAAAAUUUGGAGGAAACAUAGGAAAUCUAUAGGUUAAUUUUAUAAUUAAAACAGGAAAUUAAAUAUUUAUUGAUACCUUUAAUAUAUGGACAAAAGUAUUGGUACCGCAGAUCUAGACUUUUUGCAGGAGUUGCAUUCUUUAUUCGUUUUUCUUAGAGAUGAUUAGUGUUAAAGAAAAUAGAAUAAGGUGACAGAGAAAUGAGAAAAAUAAUUAAGUUUUUUUUUAAUAAAAGUUGGCUUUUUAAGUUUUUUUUUACAUUUUAGUUCUUUUAAUAAAAUUAUCUUAAUGGAUUGUAAUAAAAGCCAAAAUAAUACAAAUAGAAAUCUUACCUCUCAAUCCACUUCAACAAAAAAAAACACUCACAUUUGAAAUAUAUAUAUAUAUAUAUAUAUAUAUAUAUAUAUAUUAUAUAUAUAAAACAUAUAAUUUACAAAUUAUAGUAUUUGACUAUGUCGAAUACUUGCUUACACACUUCGACACAUAUGUUGUAUUUGACUUCGUCAAAUACAACUUACUCCUUCUUAUAUUACUUCGACAAUGUUGUCUGACACAACUAUGUCGAACACAUAUUUCCUACAAAAACACUAAACUAUAUCUUCUAAGACACCUCAAAAUUCAUGUUUUUGAGAUUUCUUAUCCCAAUGUUUCUCUUCAACUCAUCAAAUCUUAUUUUCUUCAGUGGCUUGGUGAGUAUAUCAGCUAGUUGUCAUUCUUACUUGCAAUACUAAAGUUCAAGUUUUCCUUUGUUUACUUCAUCCCUAAGAAAAUGACACAUCCUCUCUAUGUGUUUAAUUCGACCAUGAGACACAAGAUCAUUUCACAGAUCGAUAACUGACUUGUUAUCAACAAACACUUCAUUUUCUUAGGUCUGAUGAUCUUGAGCUCUUCGAUUAGCAUAUCUAUCCAUACUGCUUGAAACGUUGCAUACGAUGCAAUUACGUACUUAGCUUCACAAGAUGACAAAGCCAUAAUGCUUUGUUUUCUCGAUCUCCAAGAGAUUUGAGUUGUUUCAAUCAUGAAUAUAUAGCCUGUAGUACUCUUAUUCUCGUCUUGAUCUCCAGUGAAGUCUGAAUCAAUGUAGCCAUGUACUUCUGCAUAUAUGUUGGUAUUCUUUCGCCUUGACAUCAACACAUCAUGAUCAAUUGUACCUUUUAUGUUUCUCAACACUCUUGAUUGCAGUUAGAUGACAUUCUUGUGGCUUCUCCAUGAAUAUAUUCAACAACUCGACACUUUGACAAGCAUCAGGUCGAGUGUUGCAUAGAUACCUUAAAGAUCCAAAUAUUUGCUUGUACAUUAUUGCACUUACAAACUUGAUGAUAGUCCGCCAUUGCAUAUAUUUAGUCGAAAAAUUAGAGAAAAACAAGUGAAAGUUGAGCUAAAAUAAAGAAGAUUGACCAAAAAAAUGAAGAAAAAAUAGCUAAGUGUGAAAAUUGUGGACUUGAUGAAAAUUUGAGCGAAAAUGAAGGAAAGGCAUGCAUCCAUAAGAAUAAUCACACACGCGAUACGAUCUUUAAAGUUGCAUCGCGCGCGUGAUAGAUACUUUUUUUGGACUUUUCUGACGCGUUCUACUCCAUCCUGAUGCCUUUAAAAAGAGAUUUUCUGCACUUUCAUAUGGGUUACUAUUUUGGGAGAUUGAAACACGAAUUUGAAGCACAAAUGCAGAUUUUUAGAGCAUUUGAAGUCAUUGGAGGUCAUCCCUUCAAGGGACUUCUUAUGUUGUUUUCAUCAAUCAAUUAUGGUAUUUUUAGUUGCACUAUGAGUAACUAAACUCUUCUAGGUUAGGUUGUGUUAUGAUGAACCUAUUUCUAUAUUGUUGGAUUCUAUGUUAAUUUGACCAUUGUAUGAACCUAUUGAUCUAUAAUCUUAUGCAAUUGCUUCUUGUUCGUAAUGCUUUUUAUGUGAGAUACUCUUUUAAUUUGAUUUUGUGCAUAUAUGGAAUACUGACCAUUAGUCUAUAUGUUGGAUCUAGGACAAUUUUUGUACUUAUGCUGGUUGAAUAGGGAUAGAAGACCUAACGUUCUAGACAUCGUCUAACCCUACUUAUGCUUCCAGACUAAGGAUAUAAAGCUCUGAGUAAUGGUUAAUGAGUUAUUUCACGAGGAAUCGGUUCUAACAAUUUUGUUAAUUUUCUGUGGAAUUAUAGUGAUUAUAUUAUUCAUACAUGACAUCAAACAAUAACAAUAGAGGAAUAUGGGAUUCUACAACACAACCUUGCCACUUUCGUGACAUUAUUUACUCGUUUAUUUAAUUUUCGCACUGAAACUCGAAACCCCUCCCCCUACUAGUUUUCUAUAAAUUACACACAUUUUGUCUUACUUGAAGAAAGUUCUUGUGGAUUCGAUAUUUUUAUUACUUCGACAAUAUCGAUACACUUACCGAGAAGUCGUCAAAUUUUUGGCGUCGUUGCCGAGGACUGUUGAUUUUUCAACAAGGCGACGUUUGUGCAAAUUUUUUAUUAUUUUUAGUAUUUUUACUUAAUUUUUCUUGUUUAUCAUAGUGCAAUUAAGGUAUUUUUUGUUUAUGUAUGAGCAGUUCAUGAUCAACAUUAAUUCCAUUGGAUCCAGAAAUUGAAAGAGUCGCACGUGCUCACAGAAAAGCAAUUAAAGAAGCAGCUCUGAAUGGAGGAAUACUAGAAGAAUAGAAACUAUUAAGUUCUUUUGAUUCUGAAAAAAAAAGUCAUGGCAGUUACACAACCCUUAACUAUAGGGAUUACUGUAAACACACUGAAGAGUUACAGGUAUCAAGAGGGUUUGUACCGGACGACCCUGCUAACUUUGAUAUUAAUUUUUUUGUACUUUCAGGUUUAAGAGAAAAUCUGUUCGACGGGAAUGCGAUUAGAGACCCAUCGGCACAUCUUGCACGCUUCUAUGAAACAACUAAAAGAGAAUAGCGAUCAAAACGUAACGAAAAUUAAAAUUUUCUCCUUUAGUGAUCCUUACGAAUGGGCAUGAUUAGUGAUAGAAUCGUUACCUGUUGUGGCGAUUGAAACCUUUGAUGCAGAUCUAAGGAGUGAUCACGAACGUUGAAUGAUGACAACGCCUCUACUCAAUCCACACGAAUGGAUUCCUUCAAUCUCAGUGCUAGCUGCUACAAAUGAAGGCUUUGAGUGAGAGAGGGAGAGAAACGAAGUUUCAACUGCUUAAAUGCUUCUGCACAAGGGUUCUAUUUAUAGAACCACUUGUGUGGGCUGCAAGCUAAAAAAUCCACUUAAAAAAUCGAAUCAAUCCAACCUACAUUAAUUUGAUUUGUUUGAUUCAAAUUUAUUUAUAAAAAUUAAUCAAAUCAAACCUUAUUUUUUUAAGGUAAAAGUCACCGAAUUGCACCGCAAAUAUCUCUAAUAUCCACAUUUGAAUAAGUUCCUAUUUUCAAAUUUUCUAAAAGUAAACGGAUGAAUAUAUUAAUACGAAAAGUAAAAUAUAUAACUAUAUUAAAGAUAUAGACAAAAAGUAUAUAAUGCAUCCUUCAUUUAUAAAAACUUUAUCAUGAGCGUGUAUAUUUCUCUAUAAUUCCAACUCAAUGUGGUCCUCUCCACGUGAACAAGUCCAUCACUACCACCAAUGAUAAACCAACACAUGUCAAUCAUUACUGCCAAAUAAACCUAUCAAUGAAACAUAGCUUGGGGAAGGUUACAUCUAUUGGUGGAACAGAACAGCUACAAACGAUUAUCUUUUCGAAACAUGUCGCAUGAUGAUUGGAUAGGGAAGAUCGUAUGGAACUCUCGUUUGUCUUUGAUUAAUCAACGUUAAUAUUAGCAUUAAUCAACAUUGAAUUGAAUUGUGUUUGUUUGUGAAGGAUUAUUUUUCAUAUAUAUGUAUAGAUUCAUUGUCCCAACCCAACACUCACCAAACACACGCCUAAUUGUUGUUAUCAUGACAUUAAACACACGCCUAAUAAUUAUUUUUAUUAUUAUUAUUAUUAUUAUUAUUAUUAUAUAAUAAGUUUUAAAGCUUAUUUUAAUAUUUUUUGUUAACGAUGACUUUAAUAAAUAUAUAUGAUAUUAUCUUAACUUUUAAUUUGAUUUAGAAUUAUACAUCUAUUAUACAAUAAAUUUUAAAAUUUUAAUUAUUAAAAAUUUAACACCUUAUGGAUUCUUAACUAACACCUCUAAUAAAGUUUGAUGGUGGAAUACGUCACUACCAUGCCAAUUUUGCUAGUAAGUAUACCGUUCUUCUAAAAUUUAACAUGUUUUGUGGUGAGUGUCUUCUUUUACUAAAAUGUGUGUUCAAGAAAACAUGUUUAGAAACUAGGAUUUCUUCCGAGUUAUUUCUAUUAAUAGACUAGACCAGCAUAUAUUACUCGUAGAGUAUUGUAUUAUUUUUAAAUAUUGCUUUUAUGGUUUUUUUAUUUCAUAUUUAUGAGAUGUAUACAGUUUUGGUUGAUCUCAAUUUUACGUCACUGCGAAUAUAGGGUAUUGUCUGUUUUGAGUGUGAGAAUUCUCACGACUUUGUUCUUUAAAAAAUACGCUCGUUGGAUUGAGGUGUAUGUAUGUUGUAUAUAAAUUAUCCUUUGUCUUGAUUCUAAGAUAAUGUGAGAUUAUUUUGGCCAACUCAUAAUAGUUGCCUCAUAGUCGAGAUUAAGAGGUAUGGUGUGUAAUUCAAGUACCCACAGAUGACGAUAAUGCUGGUUACAUGAAUAGAAAAUAUGUGAAUAUCGAAUAGAUUUGAUUUCUAAUGUGAUGGAGUGAGUUUCCAUUAUGGCAGAGCGGAGGUAGACUGUCAAUGUUUUGAUCGAUCUCAAGUUUGUGUCACUGCGACUAUGAGGUAUUGUCAUCUUUGAGUGUGAGAACCUUCACGACUUUGUCUUUUAGAUAAAGCUCGUUACAUGAAUAAAAAAUAUGUGAAUAUCGAAUAGACUUGAUUUCUAAUGUGAUGGAGUGAGUUUCCGUUAUGGCAGAGCGGAGGUAAACUAUCAAUGUUUUGAUCGAUCUCAAGUUUGCGUCACUGCGGCUAUAAGGUAUUGUCAUCUUUGAGUGUGAGAACCUUCACGACUUUGUCUUUUAGAUAAGAAGUCUAGUUGGGUUGAGGUGUAUGAGUGUUGUAUAAAAACUACUCUUAGUCUCGAUUUCUAAGUAAUGUGGAAUUAUUUUGGUCAUCCUAAAACAAAUAUGUUCGGGAACACACAUUUCAUUGAUAUGAGCUUUCAUGCUUUAAAUAUCAGCAUACUUUUGUUAUGAGUGUCUUUUUAAUAUAUUUCAGCGGACAAAAGUAUCUUUGAAGAAAUAGACGUCUAUGAAUUUCUUGAUCGAUCGACAUAAAGGAAGAUUGACACUUAGGCCAACAUAUGUUUUAAUGUGCAAAUAAGUAUGAGGAAAACACACGUAUGUGUGAACUUGAAAAAGUUUUCCUAUUUGUGGGACUGAAGAAUUAAGAUUUAAUUAUAGAACAAAUAACUCUUAAAAUCAUUUUAAGUAAAGUGGUCAAAUAUGAUAAAACAUGUGUUGACAAUCAACGUGUUUUCAUAUCAUUUUUAUUUUACAUUUUUUACUUCCUAACACCAAAGAUAUUAAAUAUUUUACAAAAAAAUAAAUUCAAAAAGUUAUGCAUAACAAGGUUGUUUCUCUUAGACUAUGAUAAUAAUUUUUAAAAUAAUUGAUUUUAACAUAAAAAAAUGGUUUUGCAUUUCAUUUUUUAAUGUAGUCCUUAAAACUACUCAUCAACAUUGUAUCUUAGAGUUUUGUAUCAAUAAUUAUUUUAUAGAAAAGCUAAAAUAAAACUAUAUGAAAAAUAUUAUUUUUUAUUAAAUACUAGUAUAAAAUACAAAAUAAUAAAUAUACUCCUCUUUAAGUCUCGAUCAUUAGACCAAAUUUCUUUAAACUUUUACUUUUCACACAAAAAAAAAGUAUUUUUUAAAAGUACUCCUUCCAAUUUCCAAAAAUAAGGAAAAACGAGUAUAUAUAUUUGAUGAUCUUAUUUCUAAAAUACUUUUGAAUUAUAUAUAAAAUUCAAAUUUUAAAUAAUCUUUUCUAUUUUAGAUGAACAAGUUUCAAACAUAUUACACUUAAAAAUGUAUAUAUUUUUACAAGAAUAUUCCUAUACUCUUUUUUACAUUAAAUACAAAUAUUGUAUAUAUUUGUUCACCGUAUAAAUACGGUAAAUAAUAUUUUUUUAAAUAAGUUUUUUUUAUGAACAGUAUCAGUAAGCACUAUCCAUGAACAAUAACUUUAAAGUAAUAAAAUAAAAUUGAUUAAUGAAAUAUAAAUUAUUGAUUAUGGAGCGAUGAAACUGGUUAAUAAACGUUUAAAAUAUUAAAAUUAAUUUUUAAUGACAAAUCAAAUUUGAUUAAUAAAAAAUAAAAAAUUGCUUAUAUGAAAUUAUAAAAAUUAGUAUAAGAAUAAUAUUUUUCAUAUUUUUAUGAAAUAAAAAUAACUAAACAUACCUAAUUAUUAAAAAAAAAUGGAUUUUUUUUAAUAAUAUCUUACUUUUUUUUAUAUACAAUAAUACUUUUGAUUAUUAUAUUAUUACAAUAAUAGCAUAAUAAUUAAAGAUUGAUUAUUAUAUUAUUACAAUAAUAGCAUAAUAAUUAAAGGACACUAUAUUAUGUGAAUCAUGUAGAAUAUUCUUUUGCCUCAAAUCAACAGCAACUUGUUUGUUAAAGAAAAAAAAAAACAGCAACUUGUUUGUCUUCUCGGUCAAGUUCUGUAUCCUAGCCUCUAACUUCUUCUUAUUCUUCCUCUUCGUUCUUCACCCCAAAUCACAACGCAAAGAUCUUCAAAACAAUCGCAAAUCUUUUGCGAGGUAAAUUUAUAUAAUAAUUCUCUAUUUUCUUCCGUGCUGCAUUUGGAUUUUCGUUCUUCUUUUCUUUGUUUUGAAAUUUUUAAAUUUGUUUUUGAUUUUGCGUUUAAAGUUUCGUUCUUUUGGUUUUUUCUUUUCAUGGGCAUUUGAAUUGGGUUAGAUUUGUAUCCGAGGUUUGGGUUUUGAGGAUACUGCUUGACGAAUGAGGAAUUGAAAGUGUUACUUGAAAAUGAUUUUUGUGAUUUUCACGAGAUGUGUGUUGGGAGAUUAUUACAAUUUGUAUUUCAUUAUAGUUGUUGUUUAUAAGAGUUUCAUGUUGUUUGAAAUGUGGUUUGAAAAUUGUGUUAGAAGUGGGAGAUGUAUCUGAUCGCUCUUAACCGGUUUUGUAGAAUUGAGUUAUGUUCAAGAUUCUUCUGGUCACCCGUUAUUAGCUCUAGAUGUCUAGUUGUGGGCGUGAGGUGACGUUUUAGGAGUCUCGCAUCUCAUGACAUAACUUGAACACGAGUUUAUAGAGGCGCAUCUAUGACCUUACAAGCCGAUUUCGUAGAGUUGAGUUAGACGCGACUCAGAUUUGAUUUUGUGCAAGUAGUCAUCAUUUCCCCAUUUUGGAUUUGAAACUCUCAUGCUUCUCUUCUUUUGUAACAUGAGAGGAGAAGACAUGAUAACAAGGCUUAGCAUCAUGUUUAGUAUUAAGUAUAACAAUUGUGUGAUUUUUGUUGCUCACUUUAAGUGUUAUCAAAUAUCCGCCGUGGCGAUGCUAUGGUGGAUAUACAUGGCGGUGUUGGGGCUCGCCGGAAUGGUAAAUAUCGGCCGAUAUUACAGGCUUUUCUGUCAUAAUCUGCAAUAAUAGCACCGCGAAAUGGGUGGCAUGGCAGGAUUUCAGAUUAUUUAUAAUCCAUAAUCUAUCCUUUUUUCAACCUUAAUUUUCUUUGCCAUCUUAUACUGGUUUUGUGCAUACAAAUUUUAUGUAACUUAUUUAGUCUGAUUUGAUUCUUCUGUUACUUAUCAGAUUUGCUUUAUUUCUUUCAGGUGUGCUUUUCAUUCUAUAUUCUGAUACUUGAAAAUUUGAAAGGUUAAUUAGGUAUUGCUUUUUUCUUGAUUACUCUACAAGUUUUCUACAAAGUCCAUACUCUUGGGUGUCAUAACAAAAUUCAGGGAAUGCUGAAAGAUGUGCCUGCUAGUUAAAAACACUUUUCCCGAGGCCAACGAGGCUGUACCUCCGUCUGAGGUACUCUUAAUCAUCCUUGACGAGAUUGGAUGUUUAGUCCAAUGUUCAUAUCUUUAUCGUGCUCAAGUGAUUGAGGUGGCUACAAUUCUCCGCCAUUGUAAGAUUUCAAAACUCGACGUUGAUGAAGAUGGUUGAGCUUUGAGUUUCUCGAGAAGGUUUCUUGAUAUUAGCAUUGGAUUGUACAAAAAUAAAAGUGUUGCUAGAAAUGGAACGAAAUGGAAGUGUGCUUAUGCAACGAUAUGAACUCGGGAAGUUGUUAGGCCAGGGAACUUUUGCAAAGGUCUACCAUGCAAGGAACCUCAAAAACGGCAUGAAUGUCGCCAUCAAAGUUAUUGAUAAAGAAAGGGUUUUGAGGGUUGGGAUGAUUGAUCAAAUUAAGCGCGAAAUUUCAGUGAUGAGACUUGUCAGGCAUCCACACGUUGUUGAGCUUUACGAGGUAAUGGCGAGCAAAACCAAAAUUUACUUUGUCAUGGAGUAUGUCAAAGGCGGCGAACUCUUCGACAAGAUAUCCAAAGGAAAGCUCAACCAUGAUGAUGCUAGGAGAUAUUUUCAGCAAUUGAUCAGUGCCGUUGAUUACUGUCAUAGUCGAGGCGUGUGUCAUCGUGAUUUAAAACCAGAAAAUCUUUUGUUGGAUGAAAACGAAAAUUUGAAGGUCUCAGAUUUCGGGUUAAGCGCACUUGCCAACACUAAGCACCAAGAUGGAUUACUCCAUACUACAUGUGGCACCCCUGCGUAUGUCGCCCCGGAAGUGAUCAACCGAAAAGGAUACGAUGGGACUAAAGCUGAUAUAUGGUCAUGUGGUGUGAUCUUGUAUGUUAUGUUGGCUGGUUUUCUUCCGUUUAGAGAUCCAAAUUUGAUAGAGAUGUAUAAAAAAAUUGGUAAGGCGGAUUUCAAAUAUCCUAACUGGUUUUCAUCAGACGUACGAAGAUUGUUGUCGAAAAUAUUGGAUCCAAAUCCAAAGUCGAGGAUAUCUUUGGCCAAAAUCAUGGAAAGUUCUUGGUUCAAAAAGGGGUUAAAGAAGCCUAUUGUUACCGACACAGACAACAAAGAACUAGCUCCUCUCGACAUAGAUGAAGUAUUUAAAGCUUCUGAGAAUGGCGAUAAUGUUGAUCUUCCGAAACCUUGCAGUAACUUAAACGCUUUCGAUAUCAUCUCCUUUUCGUCAGGUUUCGACUUAUCCAGUUUGUUUGAUGAGAAAGAACGAAAGACAGAGAUGCGAUUUACGUCUAACAAGCCUGUUUCCGUUAUCAUCUCCAAGUUUGAAGAAAUUUGCAAGAGUCUCGGGCUAAAAUUGAAGAAAAAAGACGGAGGUUUGCUCAAGUUAGAAGGUUUGAAGGAAGGAAGGAAAGGACGUUUAGGUAUCGAUGCAGAGAUUUUCGAGAUCACACCGGUCUUCCAUUUAGUCGAGUUGAAAAAGUCGAACGGAGACACAUUGGAGUACCAAAAGCUUUUGAAAGAGAAUGUUAGGCCUUCACUUAAGGACAUUGUUUGGACAUGGCAGGGAGAACAACCUGAAGGACAUUGUUUGGACAUGGCAAGGAGAACAACCACAUCAAAUGCAGAUAGAGGAACAGUUUUCUGAUUCUAGCUUAUCAGAGAUUGUUCUACACCCAAUUUCCUAAUGAGUUUUUUGUAUGUUUUUCGCUUCUUUAUUAUGUUCUUAGUAGUGAACACUGUCUAUUCUGCAAUUGUCAUGUGAUAAUUGUGGUUAAGCAUGUGUAUUUGCUUGCUCAGCUAGUGUAACUAUUUGACUAUUUUUGGGUCUUCUGUGCUCUCUUUAUUGACCUUGUUGGAAAUGGCAUUUUCAUUUUGUAGCUUAAAUAGUGGCAUGAUGAAGUUGCAUAUAAUGUUUGUCCUUAAAUUGAGGUGUCUGUUUUUCUGUUCUCUUUCAUUUCGUUUGUUUUAGUUAAGUUGAAUUACACAUCAAAAUACUUUGUAGGUGGGCAAUCUACAUUUUGCAAAAAAGUAAUACGAAGUUAUCCUGUAUAUUAUUGGAAAGGUGAGUAUCUGGGUUAAGUUGCGAAUAAUCAUUGGACACAUUUUAAACUCA
rnacentral:lncRNA from 1 species